AUACAGUGCAGCGAAAAGGAUGGAAAGAAGAAAUGCUCACAGAGACUUGUUUUCACGUUCAAAUGAUCGCAUGUAUUGAUUGAUUGAUUGACUGAUUGGGUGUAAAGUUUGAGAAAUAGGGCCCAGUAACCUCACUCUGAGAACUUAUACUCAGGAACUAAUUGAGUGGGAUGAGAGGAGGUAGUUUCUAUUGGGGAUCACAAAACUUGGGAGCCUGGCAGGUAACAAAAAUGAGUGAAGUGAGAGAGAGAGAAUACUAGGGAGAGGUGGAAACUGAGGAGGCCUUUCUAAAGGGCACUUUCUCUGCAUGGACUGAUGUGUCAUGUGGGAAUGGGGCACCCACUGUGGCCAAAUACAGAACUUUCAAAAGAAUCCAAUACCCUGGAUUUUAUUAAAAUCCUAAUUUUAAGAAAUGUAGGAUGUUAAUAGUUUUUAAAAGCACUGUGAGCUAAUAAAACAUACCUGUGGGUUACACUGGUCUGCCGAUUGUGUGCUCUGGUUUAUAUAUGUGAAGAUGUUUACUGCAGUAUUAUUUAUUAGAGUAAAAAUUUGAAAGCAACCUAAAUGGCAAAUGAUAUAAUUACAUAAUCAGUUUGAUUAUGUAACCAUUCAAAAUGCCAAUGAAGACAGUGUUUAAAAUGUAAUGCUCAAUGAAUAAAGCAGAACCCUAAAUUAUAUGUAUACACUGAUUACUCCUUAGCAAUUUAAAUUUAUUAGAUCGAUUGAUUAAUAGAGAUUAGGGAUAGUUUUAAAGUACUAGAAAUACGCAUUCAUUUCUUGUUAUAAUUUUUUAUAUUGCUAUAUUUCUUUUAAAA
rnacentral:lncRNA from 10 species